CUCCAGCCUGUGAUACCCCAGCCUUGCCGGCAGAGCUGAAGCAGGGUCACCCCACCCCUCUGGGCCUCACGUCCCUAUCUGUUGCGGAUCAAGGGUAAUAAUGGUGGCUACUUCACGGGAUUCCUUCCGGGCUUACGUCAGUCCGUGUGUACAAAACGCACACACAGCGCCUGCUCAUAGUCAGGGCACAGAUGUUAACUGAGAGGUAGGUGACUUGCCUGAGGUCACAUACCUAACAAGUGGCAGGCCUAAGAGCCGCUCAUUAUUCAUGUAACUAUUUAAGGCACCUGUCUGAGGCACCGUGGGUGUGCUCAGAAACAAGACAGAUUCGUCCUGGCUCUGUGGCGAUGACAACCAAAUGGGGGACACAGGUGACAACAAACAAACGUAGGCCAGGUUGGUGGUAUCCGUGCCAAGGGAAAGGGGGGUGGCGGGCCGGCACCGAGGGCGGGGUCCUCAGCCCACGGCCCCUUUCCCCGAGUGAGGCUGCGCCUGUUUGCCCGCUGCGGGGGGAGGGGCGGGCGCUCACCCGCGAGGCGGGCACAGCUCCCUGGAUGCUCCUCCUUCCCCACCCUCCACGGUCCACUUGAUUCUGUGCCUUGGAGCCCUCACCACAGCUGGCGAUGCAGGCGUGGAGCCUGCUGCUGAGGACGGCAGCACAUCUAGAAGCCUUUGAAAGGCUCUUGGGAAAUUGCAUGGCCCUCUGAAGGUCAGUGUCUGGUUCUUCACCUCAAGGAGAAAUAAAGAGCACCUGGAUAUUCAAGUGCUUGUUCCAGAAGGAUCUGGGCCCAAGGGACAGGGUCUGAUGGACAGGCAAGCUCGGGGCAGUUACAGAAACUUACCUCCUAGUGUGAAGUCCUUCCCCUGGCUCCUCAUUGGCUGAGCACUACAGAGAUCCUCAAGUCAAGGAGAAGCACUCUUGAUGAGGUACAUGCAGAGAUGGAUGACAUCCAGAUUCAGACCUGACAUGGAUGACGAGCCCCUCGGCCUCACAUUGAUGCCUUAAUGAGGUGGGUUUGGGGAAGGAGGUGACUGCAUUUUGUACAUGGUUGCUAGAAGUCAGACCAUGGUAUACAGUCUCCAAAGAUGGCCACUGUUAACUUCAUGCUACUGCUCCUCACAUGAAAAGAUGGGGCCUAAUUCUCUUCUCCUUGAAUCUGGGCCAGCAUAAUGACUUACUUGAUCAACAGAAUGCAGCAGAAAUGACGCUCUUGGAUUUCUGAGAUAAAUCUUAAAAAGCCUCAUAGCCCCCUUUGGGGCCUCUUGGGCUGCUCACUUUGGGUACACUUCCUCUCAGAACCUAGAUGCCAUGUUCUGAGAAGCCCAAGCUACAUAGAGAGGUCACAGGUAGGCAUUCCAGCUGACUCCCAGCUAACAACUGGUGCCAAAUGCCAGGGUAAUUGAGUGAGCCACCUUGGAAACUGAAUUAAUUUGAACUUUCUGAUGACUCCAGCCCCAACAUCUGUCUUCAACUGCAUGAGAGGUCCCAAAUGAGAACCCCAUUGACUGAUUACAGUCUACUUAUAGAACCUUGAGAGAUAAUAAAUUUGUUUUAAUUUA